CAUUUUACUCUCUCUCUCUCCAUUUUUUCAAGCCCUAGUUUUUUUCACAGGAUUCUCGAUGGAGCUCCCAAACGGGCAUCACAAUAAUUGGACAUCUUAACACAUUUGCCCACCGAAUCAGUUUUAGAAUCCAAAUUGGUUAUGCAAAACUUAGAUGUUGUUCAUCAUCCAUCCAUCCUUCUCUCAGAGAUCUCUAAUCUUCUGACGAUUCAGUUCUUUCAGGUUUUUAUGGUGGUGGACUUCCGCUUUAGUCGCCCAUGUCUGUGGGUUGUUCCAUUUAUCAAAGACAUAUACAUACACCAAUACGCUUAGUCACUUAUGGAGAUAGGAAGGAAAAUCACUUUGCAGGUUAAUCAAACUGUUGUACAGUAAAAAUUCCAUGAGGCAUUUCCUAAUAAAAAGCGGAAAAUACCAAUGGGAGGUGAAGAUAUCUAUGGAUCUAUUGGUUGAGGAUGUUAAGGAGUGAAACUCGGUUCUUGAUCAGACACCUAAAGACAGAUUCUAGUCCAUCUUCAAGUUCUUGAAGGUUCAUCUCAAGGGCAGCCAAUGACUUCUGCACUUCUUUUGCUUCAAUGACUUUGGAUUUCAAAGCGACAUCGAUCUUGGUUACUUCAUUGACAACUUGUAUUUCAAAGCGACAUCGAUCUUGAAGGUUCAUCUCAAGGGCAGCCAAUGACUUCUGCACUUCUUUUGCUUCAAUGACUUUGGAUUUCAAAGCGACAUCGAUCUUGGUUACUUCAUUGACAACUUGUUGGUUUGCACUUUUGGUGGUCAACUUUGAGACUAGUGACCUUUGCUUUGGUGCAGAUAGGAAAGACAGGAUAAAUUCAAAAACUGCAAGAGUGGUUGCUUCAACUUCUGUUAGGACAUUGGUAACGAGGUCAUUGUUUUUGUUGGUGUUUUUCUUAAUAUCUGAAAGGCAUUUUUGGAUGGCUUUGCAGACUUUCUUUCUUGAGGUCAUGUAUGCGUCAAACUCAUUUGAUUGCCUUCGGAUAGAUGAUUGAAGAUCUUGGGAAGAUUGCUUCAUUUGAGAUGAAACAUCCUUAAUAGUUCCACAGACAUCCAACAACACGACAGAUCUGUCCAAGACUGCGUCUAAGCAUUUUCCAUCUUCGGUAGAGAGGAAAUCCUCAACACCUUCAUACAAGUCCUUAAGAGCAACCAAGUUGUUGGAGAUGGAUGAGGUGAGAACUGAAGAUCUCAAUUUGAAGAGUUGUUCCUCAACUGCAGUAGCGAGUGGGUUGGAUCUGGUGGGCAAACUGAUUGAACGAGCAUGGAAAGUUUUGUUUGAGUCAGGAUUCAGGCUACAAUGUACAGCAAGGGGACGUAUUCAUGUGGUGGAACUUCCCCUAUACACGCCAUUGUCUCUGCACUGUUCCCUCCAUCAAUAGUAUGUACCCUACUGACUCUAUAGCAUCAAUUAAUAUAUAAUUUUAUUUUAUAAGACGAAUCCUAUAGAAUUAGCCAAAUAUGCAAGUACGUGCAUGAGUGCAUUACUACCUAUAAAGAUUUGUAAUGAUACGCAUAAUGAUCGAUGUAUACGUUUCCCAACCGUUGGAAUCUUGACAGCCUUGCAUUUUAUUAUAAAUGUUCAAACUUAGGAACCAAAAAGAGCAUGUAAACAGAAACAAGAUGAAUCAGAUGGCUCCUCCUGUUGUCUAUAUUCAUUUGGUUGUUAUUCGAAUUUCUAUCCAUUCCUGUAAUCUAGUAACAUGUAGCAUAUCAAGAUAUAUAGUAACUAAAGAACUAUAUAUCCAAUUAAGCUGCAAGGGACACUCAAUUUAACAGUGGCAAAAUAAACCGUUAGGCCGCGGAAUAUUAGCAAGUUGUUCGAUUUUUUUUUGGAUAUCCUCUCCCGUCUAAAAAAAGUGACAGAAUUUGAAACGUCUAUAUUAAGACUUUUCAGCAAACUCUAACCUUAAAAUGCAGCUUGAUAAUUGUUUGAAGUUUUCAGCGGUUUGUACUUUAAGAUUGGUUACCAGCAACCAGUGCCUACAACAAGAUAGGAAAGGGAAUGCAAAAGGCUUGGGAUUAUGGUAGAAGCAGCUUAUAUAUGCAGGCAGGUGGUAAUCAAGAUGGUUGCAUGUUGCAUUACCUUUACCUUGGAGGCAAUGCGCUUCUAAUUGGACAAAUUUGGAAGAAAUGAGUAGAAAAUUUUGUGUCGCCAACUCCUAUAGGCGCUGCUUAUUUUGAUGCACUCCACAUAAAAAAUCAGUAUGUACAGUAAAAUUCCAUUAGGCAUUUCCUAAUAAAAGGCGGAAAAUACCAAUGGGAGGUGAAAUAUCUAUGGAUCUAUUGGUUUAGGAUGUUAAGAAGUGAAACUCGGUUCUUGAUCAGACACCUAAAGACAGAUUCUAGUCCAUCUUCAAGUUCUUGAAGGUUCAUUUCAAGGGUAGCCAAUGACUUCUGCACGUCUUUUGCUUCAAUGACUUUGGAUUUCAAUGCGGCAUCGAUCUUGGUUACUUUAUUGACAACUUGUUGGGUUGCACUUUUGUUGGUCAACUUUGAAACUAGUGACCUUUGCUUUGGUGCAGAUAGGAAAGACAAGAUAGAUUCAAAAACUGCAAGCGUAGUUGCUUCAACUUUUGUUAGGACAUCGGUAACGAGGUCAUUGUUUUUGUUGGUGUUUUUUUCUUAAGAUCUGAAAGGCAUUUCUGAAUGACUUUGCAGGCUUUCUUUCUUGAGGUCAUGUAUGCGUCAAACUCAUUUGAUUGCCUUCGGAUAGAUGAUUGAAGAUCUUGGGCAGAUUGCUUCAUUUGAGAUGAUACAUCCUUAAUGGUUCCACAAACAUCCAACAACAUGACAGAUUUGUCCAACACUGCGUCUAAGCAUUUUCCAUCUUCGGUAGAGAGGAAAUCCUCAACACAUUCAUACAAGUCCUUCAGAGCAACCAAGUUGUUGGAGAUAGAUGAGGUGAGAAGUGAAGAUCUCAAUUUGCAGAGUUGUUCCUCAACUGCAGCAGCGAGUGGGUUGGAUCUGGUGGGCAAACUGAUUGAACGAGCAUGGAGAGUUUUGUUUGAGGAAGACAUUUUUGUCUUGUUUAGAUGAAAACUAUGAAAGUUUAUGGAUAUACAAGUUAAUGUAGAAACUGAUAUUUUGAUGA